rnacentral:sRNA from 1 species
CUCGUUUCAAAUUUCUAUUAACAGUAUUAACCCGGCCCCUGCUGUGCCCCCAGCUUGGCUCUAACCCCCGCUCACACCAGCACCCUGCAGCCCAGAGCAAUGGGGCUGGCUGCCUCCUUAUCUCCAACCCUCCCGCUUCUCCUCAGUCACCAAGACUUGGAGCCAGAAUCUGAGCCUCAGCUGGAGUCAGAGACAGCAGGAAAAUGGGUCCUGUGUAAUUAUGACUUCCAGGCCCGCAACAGCAGUGAGCUGUCGGUCAAGCAGCGGGACGUACUGGAGGUCCUGGAUGACAGUCGUAAGUGGUGGAAGGUUCGGGACCCAGCGGGGCAGGAGGGAUAUGUGCCCUACAACAUCCUGACACCCCACCCCGGACCCCGGCUGCACCACAGCCAAAGCCCUGCCCGCAGCCUG